UAGCUAAUCCUGGUCGGACAUCAGGAGGUUAGUGCAAUGGCAUAAGCUAGCUUGACUGCGAGCGUGACGGCGCGAGCAGGUGCGAAAGCAGGUCAUAGUGAUCCGGUGGUUCUGAAUGGAAGGGCCAUCGCUCAACGGAUAAAAGGUACUCCGGGGAUAACAGGCUGAUACCGCCCAAGAGUUCAUAUCGACGGCGGUGUUUGGCACCUCGAUGUCGGCUCAUCACAUCCUGGGGCUGAAGUAGGUCCCAAGGGUAUGGCUGUUCGCCAUUUAAAGUGGUACGCGAGCUGGGUUUAGAACGUCGUGAGACAGUUCGGUCCCUAUCUGCCGUGGGCGCUGGAGAAUUGAGGGGGGCUGCUCCUAGUACGAGAGGACCGGAGUGGACGCAUCACUGGUGUUCGGGUUGUCAUGCCA
rnacentral:rRNA from 1 species